rnacentral:rRNA from 1 species
UUUUAUUUGAGAGUUUGAUCCUGGCUCAGGAUGAACGCUGGCGGCGUGCCUAACACAUGCAAGUUGAGCGAUUUACUUCGGUAAAGAGCGGCGGACGGGUGAGUAACGCGUGGGUAACCUACCCUGUACACACGGAUAACAUACCGAAAGGUAUGCUAAUACGGGAUAAUAUAUUUGAGAGGCACUCUUGAAUACCAAAGGUGAGCCAGUACAGGAUGGACCCGCGUCUGAUAGCUGUUGGUAAGGUAACGGCUUAACCAGGCGACGAUCAGUAGCCGAACCGUCGAGAGGGUGAUCGGCCCACAUUGGAAAUGAGACACGGUCCAAACCUCCGUACGGGAGGCAGCAGUGGGAAUAUGCAC